rnacentral:rRNA from 1 species
CAAGGCGGGGACAGCGCGUGGGAUCCACCUCUUCCCAUCCCGAACAGAGAAGUUAAGCCACGCCGCGCCGAUGGUACUGCGGAAGCGGGAGAGUAGGUCACCGCCCCAU